rnacentral:RNase_P_RNA from 1 species
AUUUUCGGAUAAUCGCGGCUUGAGUAAAUCAAGUUGAGGAAAGUCCAUGCUCGCACAGACUGAGAUGUCUGUAGUGUUCGUGCUCGGCGAAAAAAUAAGCUGAGGUAUUUCAUUUAUUUAAGAUAACGGCAGGAAAAAAA